rnacentral:rRNA from 1 species
UAUGCUGUGAGGCCUUCGGGACAGUUAGAGACAGGUGGUGCAUGGUUGUCGUCAGCUCGUGUCGUGAGAUGUUGGGUUAAGUCCCGCAACGAGCGCAACCCUUAUCCUCAGUAGCCAGCGCGUAGGGCGGGCACUCUGGGGAGACUGCCGGGGAGAACCCGGAGGAAGGUGGGGAUGACGUCAAAUCAUCAUGCCCCUUAUGAUUUGGGCUACACACGUGCUACAAUGGCGUAAACAAAGGGAAGCGAAACGGCGAAGUGGAACCAAACCCAAAAAUAACGUCCCAAUUCGGAUUGUAGUCUGCAACCCCACUACCUGAAGCUGGAAUCCCUAGUAAUCCCGGAUCAAAAUGCCGCGGUGAAUACGUUCCCCGGUUUGGUACCCCCCCGG